GAUGAACGCUGGCGGCGUGCCUAAUACAUGCAAGUCGAGCGAACGGACGAGAAGCUUGCUUCUCUGAUGUUAGCGGCGGACGGGUGAGUAACACGUGGAUAACCUACCUAUAAGACUGGGAUAACUUCGGGAAACCGUAGCUAAUACCGGAUAAUAUUUUGAACCGCAUGGUUCAAAAGUGAAAGACGGUCUUGCUGUCACUUAUAGAUGGAUCCGCGCUGCAUUAGCUAGUUGGUAAGGUAACGGCCUACCAAGGCAACGAUGCAUAGCCGACCUGAGAGGGUGAUCGGCCACACUGGAACUGAGACACGGUCCAGACUCCUACGGGAGGCAGCAGUAGGGAAUCUACCGCAAUGGGCGAAAGCCUGACGGAGCAACGCAGCGUGAGUGAUGAAGGUCUUCGGAUCGUAAAACUCUGUUAUUAGGGAAGAACAUAUGUGUAAGUAACUGUGCACAUCUUGACGGUACCUAAUCAGAAAGCCACGGCUAACUACGU
rnacentral:rRNA from 1 species